rnacentral:rRNA from 1 species
CGCGACCUCAGGUCAGGCGGGAUUACCCGCUGA